rnacentral:rRNA from 1 species
CUGCCCGCGCACCGGGAAUACGCUCUGGAAACGGAGAACAAAUCCCGAUGUACAGGAAGGAGGCAUCUUCUUUCUGUGAAACAUCCUUUAGGGGAUGGGGCGCGGAUGGACCUGCGGUGCAUUAGUUGGUUGGCGGGGUAAAGGCCCACCAAGACGAUGAUGCAUAGCCGGCCUGAGAGGGCGGACGGCCACAUUGGGACUGAGACACGGCCCAGACUCCUGCGGGAGGCAGCAGUAGGGAAUUUUCGUCAAUGGGCGCAAGCCUGAACGAGCGAUGCCGCGUGAGUGAAGAAGGCCUUCGGGUCGUAAAGCUCUGUUGCGGGGGAAAAAAGGCAGCAUCAGGAAAUGGGUGCUGACUGAUGGUGCCCCGCCAGAAAGUCACGGCUAACUACGUGCCAGCAGCCGCGGUAAUACGUAGGUGGCGAGCGUUAUCCGGAAUGAUUGGGCGUAAAGGGUGCGCAGGCGGUCCUGCAAGUCUGGAGUGAAACGCAUGAGCUCAACUCAUGCAUGGCUUUGGAAACUGGAGGACUGGAGAGCAGGAGAGGGCGGUGGAACUCCAUGUGUAGCGGUAAAAUGCGUAGAUAUAUGGAAGAACACCAGUGGCGAAGGCGGCCGCCUGGCCUGUUGCUGACGCUGAGGCACGAAAGCGUGGGGAGCAAAUAGGAUUAGAUACCCUAGUAGUCCACGCCGUCAACGAAGAGGACCAAGUGUUGG